UAGGGAAUCUUCGGCAAUGGACGAAAGUCUGACCGAGCAACGCCGCGUGAGUGAAGAAGGUUUUCGGAUCGUAAAACUCUGUUGUUAGAGAAGAACAAGGACGUUAGUAACUGAACGUCCCCUGACGGUAUCUAACCAGAAAGCCACGGCUAACUACGUGCCAGCAGCCGCGGUAAUACGUAGGUGGCAAGCGUUGUCCGGAUUUAUUGGGCGUAAAGCGAGCGCAGGCGGUUUCUUAAGUCUGAUGUGAAAGCCCCCGGCUCAACCGGGGAGGGUCAUUGGAAACUGGGAGACUUGAGUGCAGAAGAGGAGGGGGGAAUUCCAGGUGUGGCGGUGAAAUGCGUAGAAAUAUGGAGGAACACCAGUGGCGAAGGCGGCUCUCUGGUCUGUAACUGACGCUGAGGCUCGAAAGCGUGGGGAGCAAACAGG
rnacentral:rRNA from 1 species